GAGGGUAUAGCUCAGUGGUAGAGCACGUGCUUGUCAUGUGGGAGGUCCUAGGUUCAAUCCCCAGUACCUCCA
rnacentral:tRNA from 1 species